rnacentral:rRNA from 1 species
GAUGAACGCUGGCGGCGUGCCUAAUACAUGCAAGUCGAGCGAACAGACGAGGAGCUUGCUCCUCUGACGUUAGCGGCGGACGGGUGAGUAACACGUGGAUAACCUACCUAUAAGACUGGGAUAACUUCGGGAAACCGGAGCUAAUACCGGAUAAUAUAUUGAACCGCAUGGUUCAAUAGUGAAAGACGGUUUUGCUGUCACUUAUAGAUGGAUCCGCGCCGCAUUAGCUAGUUGGUAAGGUAACGGCUUACCAAGGCAACGAUGCGUAGCCGACCUGAGAGGGUGAUCGGCCACACUGGAACUGGGACACGGUCCAGACUCCUACGGGAGGCAGCAGUAGGGAAUCUGCCGCAAUAGGCGAAAGCCUGACGGAGCAACGCCGCGUGAGUGAUGAAGGUCUUCGGAUCGUAAAACUCUGUUAUUAGGGAAGAACAAAUGUGUAAGUAACUAUGCACGUCUUGACGGUACCUAAUCAGAAAGCCACGGCUAACUACGUG